rnacentral:rRNA from 1 species
UGAGGAAUAUUGCGCAAUGGGGGAAACCCUGACGCAGCAACGCCGCGUGAGUGAGGAAGGUUUUCGGACCGUAAAGCUCUGUCGAGCGGGAAGAAAUGCAUGGUGGCUAAUAUCCAUCAUGCUUGACGGUACCGCUAAAGGAAGCACCGGCUAACUCCGUGCCAGCAGCCGCGGUAAUACGGGGGGUGCGAGCGUUGUUCGGAAUUAUUGGGCGUAAAGAGCGUGUAGGCGGCUUGACAAGUCAGAUGUGAAAUCCCUGGGCUUAACCCAGGAAGUGCAUUUGAAACUGUCUAGCUUGAGUAAGGGAGAGGAAAGUGGAAUUCCUGGUGUAGAGGUGAAAUUCGUAGAUAUCAGGAGGAACACCGGUGGCGAAGGCGACUUUCUGGCCCUAUACUGACGCUGAGACGCGAGAGCGUGGGCAGCAAACA